rnacentral:rRNA from 1 species
GAUGAACGCUAGCGGCAGGCUUAACACAUGCAAGUCGAGGGGUAUAGUUCUUCGGAACUAGAGACCGGCGCACGGGUGCGUAACGCGUAUGCAAUCUACCUUUUACAGAGGGAUAGCCCAGAGAAAUUUGGAUUAAUACCUCAUAGUAUGUGAGAAUCGCAUGGUUUUCACAUUAAAGUUCCAACGGUAAAAGAUGAGCAUGCGUCCCAUUAGCUAGAUGGUAAGGUAACGGCUUACCAUGGCGACGAUGGGUAGGGGUCCUGAGAGGGAGAUCCCCCACACUGGUACUGAGACACGGACCAGACUCCUACGGGAGGCAGCAGUGAGGAAUAUUGGUCAAUGGGUGCAAGCCUGAACCAGCCAUCCCGCGUGAAGGACGACUGCCCUAUGGGUUGUAAACUUCUUUUGUAUAGGGAUAAACCUACCCUCGUGAGGGUAGCUGAAGGUACUAUACGAAUAAGCACCGGCUAACUCCGUGCCAGCAGCCGCGGU